rnacentral:misc_RNA from 1 species
GGCUGAUGCUGCACAGCAGCU